UUUAUAUCAUUGGCAAGUAAUCUGACAAUUUUAGGAAGUAUAAAUUGAUUGGUAUAAGUAACAACAAUAAUAAUGAUACUAAUAAUAAUUUAGAAAAGACUGGCAUUUUCAUUUCUAUAGGAACUUUAUAGUAUAGAAAUUUCUUCUACUAAUGCAUAUCUGCAAUUGUUUCUUAGGCUUCCCAUUUCCAUGGCUAUUGAGAGAUUAAAAUGACAUGUCCAAAGUCAUACAACCAAAAGGUCUCAGAGAUUCCAAAUCAUUGAAUCUUGAACAUCCUGUGUGGUGUGAUUUUCUCAAUGGAAAUGACACAAAAGAAGAUGAAACACCACCUGCUUUGCCAGUUCAUCCUAAGGACCAUUGAGUCUUUUCAUCUGAGUUGGAUCAGAAACCUUCUUUAUGUGUUACUACCUAUUACACUGGAAAUUCCUUGAGAACCAGCACUGUUUUGCUUUUUCAUUUAUAUUCACAGAUUUCAGAUAGGUGCUUGGUACUUAACCAUUUAAUAAAAUAUCUUCCAUACAUUUCUUCA
rnacentral:lncRNA from 1 species